rnacentral:rRNA from 1 species
GACGAACGCUGGCGGCGUGCUUAACACAUGCAAGUCGAACGAAGUGGCGAACGGGUGAGUAACGCGUAAUCAACCUGCCCUUCAGAGGGGGACAACAGUUGGAAACGACUGCUAAUACCGCAUACUGAAGGAGGGGAUUGCGUCGUAGUAGCUAGUUGGCGGGGUAACGGCCCACCAAGGCGAUGAUCAGUAGCCCGUCUGAGAGGUGGAACGGCCACAUUGGGACUGGGACACGGCCCAGACUCCUACGGGAGGCAGCAGUGGGGAAUCUUCCGCAAUGGACGAAAGUCUGACGGAGCAACGCCGCGGUAGUGAUGACGGCCUUCGGGUUGUAAAGCUCUGUUAAUCGGGACGCGGUACCGGAAUAGAAAGCCACGGCUAACUCCGUGCCAGCAGCCGCGGUAAUUC